GAUGAAGAACGGAGUGAAAUGCGAUAAGUAAUGUGAAUUGCAGAAUUCAGUGAAUCAUCGAAUCUUUGAACGCACAUUGCGCCCGCCAGUAUUCUGGCGGGCAUGCCUGUUCGAGCGUCAUUACAACCCUCAGGCCCCCGGGCCUGGCGUUGGGGAUCGGCGGAGCCCCCCGUGGGCACACGCCGUCCCCCAAAUGCAGUGGCGGUCCCGCCGCAGCUUCCAUCGCGUAGUAGCUAACACCUCGCGACUGGAGAGCGGCGCGGCCACGCCGUAAAACACCCAACUCUUCUGAAGUUGACCUCGAAUCAGGUAGGAAUACCCGCUGAACUUAAGCAUAUCAAUAAGCGGAGGA
rnacentral:misc_RNA from 1 species